rnacentral:rRNA from 1 species
GAUGAACGCUGGCGGCGUGCUUAACACAUGCGAGUCGAACGGAAAGGCCCAAGCUUGCUUGGGUACUCGAGUGGCGAACGGGUGAGUAACACGUGGGUGAUCUGCCCUGCACUUCGGGAUAAGCCUGGGAAACUGGGUCUAAUACCGGAUAGGACCACAUUUUGGAUGGUGUGGUGGAAAGUUUUUCGGUGUGGGAUGAGCUCGCGGCCUAUCAGCUUGUUGGUGGGGUAAUGGCCUACCAAGGCGUCGACGGGUAGCCGGCCUGAGAGGGUGUACGGCCACAUUGGGACUGAGAUACGGCCCAGACUCCUACGGGAGGCAGCAGUGGGGAAUAUUGCACAAUGGGCGCAAGCCUGAUGCAGCGACGCCGCGUGGGGGAUGACGGCCUUCGGGUUGUAAACUCCUUUCGCUAGGGACGAAGCGCAAGUGACGGUACCUGGAGAAGAAGCGCCGGCUAACUACGUG